rnacentral:rRNA from 1 species
CCUAACGAGGGGCAGCAGUGGGGGAUAUUGCACAAUGGAGGAAACUCUGAUGCAGCGACGCCGCGUGAGGGAAGACGGUCUUCGGAUUGUAAACCUCUGUCUUUGGGGAAGAAAAUGACGGUACCCAAAGAGGAAGCUCCGGCUAACUACGUGCCAGCAGCCGCGGUAAUACGUAGGGAGCGAGCGUUGUCCGGAAUUACUGGGUGAAAAGGGAGCGUAGGCGGGCGAGAAAGUUGAAUGUUAAAUCUACCGGCUUAACUGGUAGCUGCGUUCAAAACUUCUUGUCUUGAGUGAAGUAGAGGCAGGCGGAAUUCCUAGUGUAGCGGUGAAAUGCGUAGAUAUUAGGAGGAACACCAGUGGCGAAGGCGGCCUGCUGGGCUUUAACUGACGCUGAGGCUCGAAAGCGUGGGGAGCAAACAGGAUUAGAUACCCUAGUAGUC